CCUACGGGAGGCAGCAGUGGGGAAUUUUGGACAAUGGGCGCAAGCCUGAUCCAGCCAUGCCGCGUGCGGGAAGAAGGCCUUCGGGUUGUAAACCGCUUUUGUCAGGGAAGAAAAGGUUCUGGCUAAUACCUGGGACUCAUGACGGUACCUGAAGAAUAAGCACCGGCUAACUACGUGCCAGCAGCCGCGGUAAU
rnacentral:rRNA from 1 species